UACGGAGGGUGCAAACGUUGCUCGGAAUCAUUGGGCGUAAAGCGCGCGUAGGCGGCCUUGUAAGUCCGUUGUGAAAGUCAAAGGCUCAACCUUUGAAAGCCGAUGGAUACUGUGAGGCUAGAGUCCGGAAGAGGCGAGUGGAAUUCCUGGUGUAGCGGUGGAAUGCGCAGAUAUCAGGAGGAACACCAAUAGCGAAGGCAGCUCGCUGGGACGGUGCUGACGCUAAGGCGCGAAAGCGUGGGGAGCGAACAGG
rnacentral:rRNA from 1 species